GACGAACGCUGGCGGCGUGCUUAACACAUGCAAGUCGAACGGAAAGGCCCUGCUUUUGUGGGGUGCUCGAUUGGCGAACGGGUGAGUAACACGUGAGUAACCUGCCCUUGACUUUGGGAUAACUUCAGGAAACUGGGGAUAUUACCGGAUAGGAUCUUCUGCUGCAUGGUGGGGGUUGGAAAGUUUCGGCGGUUGGGGAUGGACUCGCGGCUUAUGAGCUUGUUGGUGGGGUAGUGGCUUACGAAGGCUUUGACGGGUAGCCGGCCUGAGAGGGUGACCGGCCACAUUGGGACUGCGAUACGGAGCAGAAUCCUACGGGAGGCAGAAGUGGGGAAUAUUGCACAACGGGCGGAAGCCUGAUGCAGCAGCGCCGCGUGCGGGAUGACGGCUUUCGGGUUGUAAACCGCUUUCGCCUGUGACGAAGCGUGAGUGACGGUAAUGGGUAAAGAAGCACCGGCUAACUACGUG
rnacentral:rRNA from 1 species